rnacentral:tRNA from 3 species
UACUCGGCUACGAACCGAGCGGUCGGAGGUUCGAAUCCUCCCGGAUGCACCA